ACGACUGCUAAGACUGGAUAGGAGACAAGAGGGCAACUUCUUGUUUUUAAAAGACCUAGCAAUAGGUAUGCUUAGGGAGGAGCUUGCGUCACAUUAGUUAGUUGGUGGGGUAAAGGCCUAACAAGACUAUGAUGUGUAGCCGGGCUGAGAGGUUGAACGGCCACAUUGGGACUGAGACACGGCCCAAACUCCUACGGGAGGCAGCAGUAGGGAAUUUUCGGCAAUGGAGGAAACUCUGACCGAGCAACGCCGCGUGAACGAUGAAGUAUUUCGGUACGUAAAGUUCUUUUAUUAGGGAAGAAUAAAUGAUGGAAAAAUCAUUCUGACGGUACCUAAUGAAUAAGCCCCGGCUAACUAUGUGCCAGCAGCCGCGGUAAUACAUAGGGGGCAAGCGUUAUCCGGAAUUAUUGGGCGUAAAGGGUGCGUAGGCGGUUAAAUAAGUUUAUGGUCUAAGUGCAAUGCUCAACAUUGUGAUGCUAUAAAAACUGUUUAGCUAGAGUAAGAUAGAGGCAAGUGGAAUUCCAUGUGUAGUGGUAAAAUGCGUAAAUAUAUGGAGGAACACCAGUAGCGAAGGCGGCUUGCUGGGUCUUUACUGACGCUGAGGCACGAAAGCGUGGGGAGCAAACAGGAUUAGAUACCCUGGUAGUCCACGCCGUAAACGAUGAGUACUAAACGUUGGGUAAAACCAGUGUUGAAGUUAACACAUUAAGUACUCCGCCUGAGUAGUACGUACGCAAGUAUGAAACUUAGAGGAAUUGACGGGACUCCGCACAAGCGGUGGAUCAUGUUGUUUAAUUCGAAGGUACCCGAAAAACCUCACCAGGUCUUGACAUGCUUCUGCAAAGCUGUAGAAACACAGUGGAGGUUAUCAGUUGCACAGGUGGUGCAUGGUUGUCGUCAGCUCGUGUCGUGAGAUGUUGGGUUAAGUCCCGCAACGAGCGCAACCCUUAUUGUUAGUUACCAGCACGUAAUGGUGGGGACUUUAGCAAGACUGCCAGUGAUAAAUUGGAGGAAGGUGGGGACGACGUCAAAUCAUCAUGCCCCUUAUGACCUGGGCUACAAACGUGAUACAAUGGUUGUUACAAAGGGUAGCUGAAGCGCAAGUUUUUGGCGGAUCUCAAAAAAACAGUCUCAGUUCGGAUUGAAGUCUGCAACUCGACUUCAUGAAGUUGGAAUCGCUAGUAAUCGCGAAUCAGCAUGUCGCGGUGAAUACGUUCGCGGGGUUUGUACACACCGCCCGUCA
rnacentral:rRNA from 1 species